AAAAGGUAAGCUAAAGAAAGCUACUGGGUUCAUACCUCAUUUAUAAAGGUUGUACUCCUUUUCUUUUUA
rnacentral:tRNA from 1 species